AGCAGGGUGCCUGACUAAAGGGCUACCUUGAUAGGGUAAAUAAAGCGAAAUUCGCCCCUACUA
rnacentral:tRNA from 1 species